UGUUUUGACAAUUUGACUUGUGUGACUGAAUUAUUAUUCUAUUUUUUUUGCAGUAAGUUGUAUUUUCUUAAUGGCACAAAAAAAGGAUCCAGCUUGGGCAUAUGGAAUUGCCAUGGAAAGUAACACAAAAUCAAAUGUGUUUUUUGUGAUAUGGCAUAUAAUGGCGAAAUAUUUCGUCACAAGAAGCAUCUUAUUGGUGGUUAUAUAAAGUGAGUCCAAAGGUCCCGAAGAGUGUGAAGGAAGAAAUAAAAGAGUAUUUUACGAAAAAAAAUGAAUUCAAAACUCAAAUGAAUCCUGAAGCAUACAUGGUUAAUCUUGUUGAUGAUGAUGAAAUGGAUGAUGAAGUUGAAGUGAAUAUGCCAAUGGGGCCUCCCUCAAAAAAGAAACUUUCAACUAGUGAAAGUGGGUCAUCCACCGCUAGCAAUGUCAAAGGUCCUCUUAAUCUCUAUUUCUCGCAAAAAACAAAUGAAAAAAGAAAAGGUGGACCUAUUGAUCUAGAGGCUUCUAGCAAGAUUUUACGAGAUCAUAUUGUAUCUGCUUUUGCUAGGUGGAUGUAUGAUGCAGGAUUGCCUUUCAAUUGUGUUAACUACACCGAAAGUUUUGGUGAAUUCAUUGAGGCAGUAGGCCAAUAUGGCCCUGGAAUGAAGCCCCCCACCUAUCAUGAGGUAAGAGUUCCUUGUUUAAAAAAAGAGGUGGACAAGACAAACAAAAUUGUAGAAGAUCAUAAGAUUCAAUGGAAAACGUAUGGUUGUUCUAUUAUGAUGGAUAAAUGGACAGCAAGGAAUGGGAAAAUGACCAUCAAUGUUUGGGUGAAUUCUCCAAAAGGGAGUGUGUUCCUUGAAUCUCAUGAUGUUAGUGACUCUUCUACUGAUUCUAAUAAGAUGUUUAACUUGUUUGAGAAGACUAUCUUGAAAAUAGGCAAGGAAAAUGUGGUACAAGUUGUGAUUGAUAAUGCAAGUGAGAACAAAAAAGCGGGUGACAUGUUGAAGGGAGUGUUCCCGCAUAUUUUCUGGACUCCUUGUGCUGCUCACUGUAUCAACUUGAUGUUUGGUGACAUUUUCAAAGAGGCCCCGUAUUCUACAGUUUUUGGUAAGGCUGUUAAGAUACAUUCUUAUAUCAGUCAAAGGGCACUGUUGUUGAAUAUGAUGAGGAGAUACACAAAGCAAAGAAACUUGGUAAAACCUGCUAAGACAAGAUUCGCAACAGCUUUUUUGACAUUGCAUAAUUUUUAUAUGCAAAAGAAAAAUAUGAGAACCUUGUUUAUGUCCACUGAAUGGAAUGAGAGUGUCUAUGCAAAGGAAACUCUUGGGAAAGAAGUUGCGAGACACAUCAUUAGUCCAUAUUUUUGGAAUGACACUGUUCAAGCACUUAGAGUUGGUGGUCCUUUAGUUAAUGUACUUCGUAUGGUAGAUGGGGAGAAAAAACCAUCAAUGGGCUACAUUUAUGAAGCCAUGGAUAGGGGCAAAGAAAGUAUUGAAAAGGCAUUCAAUUAUGAUGACAGGAAAUAUAUGAAUGUUUUCAAAAUCAUUGAUUCAAGGUGGACGAAUCAACUUCAUCAACCUUUACAUGCAACUGGACAUAUUUUGAACCCGGGGCUCUAUUAUAAAAAUAAUGAGAUGAAGACUUUAACCAAAGAAGUGUGGUUGGGAUAUCAUGCAUGUGUUGAGAGGAUGAUCCUAGAUAAAACUUUGCAAGACAAAAUAGGGGAUGAGCUUGGUGUGUACAUGAAAGCUGAUGGGCUACUUGGAAUUGAGUCGGCCAUUAGAGCUAGAACCUUAAGGUCACCCGGUGAGCAUUUCAACAUUUAACUGUUAGAGCUUCAACUUUUAAGUUAUUACAUAUUAACUUUUAAAAUAAUUCUUCUACAGUUGAAUGGUGGAUGCAAUAUGGUCAUAAUGUCCCAAACUUCCAACAAUUUGUUAUUAGAGUGCAAAGUUUAACUUGUAGCUCAUCCGGUUGCGAGAGAAAUUGGAGCGUGUAUGAACAUAUUCAUACUAAAAAGAGAAACAGGCUUGAGUUAAAACGCCUGAAUGAUCUAGUGUUCAUCAAAUAUAAUAGAACAUUGGUGCGUCGCUACAAUGAUCGCAAUACCAUUGAUCCAAUUUUGUUGGAUAAUAUUGAUGAUGCAAAUGAAUGGUUAACUGGAGCACCCCAAAAUCAUGAAGAUGAAGAAGUAUAUGAAGGAGAAGGUCUCACUUAUGGUGAAGUUGCUACGGCUAGUGGUGUGGAGGAGAAUAUUUAUGGUUUUAGGGGGAGUACUUUAAGGGGCAAGGAAAAAAGAGUAGCUACAGGUUCAAGUUCAUGUUCAAAAUCAAAUAGAAGUAGAACUCUUGUUGAUGAAUCCUCCGAUGAGGAAGAAGAUGAGGACCAAGUAGAAGUAGAACCCUUGUUGAUGGCACUUCAAGAGUUUGAGGAUCUUGUUGAAGAAUAGGAUUUUGCUCUCUUUGUAAUUUGGUUAUGCAUUUGCUUUAUAUGUUGUUACUUAUGCGGAUUAUUGACUAUCUAGUUACUUUUUAAUCUAAGUCUUUUGAGUUCUUGAUUAUUUAUCUAUGCAUAUUUUAUAUUUUAUAUUUUUAUACUAAAUAGCGCUUUUUCUAAAAAAGCAUGCGCUUCGCUUCACGCUUCUCGCUUCUGUGAAGCGAGCCUCCGUCUCUUUUUUCUGCUUCUCAAAACACUAUUCAUGAUAGACAUUACUUCCGCAUCUUUGUUGUUGCUUAUUUGCUUUGUUUACCUCAUGUAUGCUCAUGAAUGAUAUGCUAAGAGGCUUGGUUGGGAUCCUUCGGGAUUCCAAUCGUCGUGUCGCACCUAAGGUCUAGCUUGGAUCGUGACAACCUCAUGAGCAUACACUAACUAUAAACA